rnacentral:lncRNA from 1 species
UCACUUAGGGAGCCAAAGGGAACACUAGAGGUUUCAUCAGAAGAUAUGGCAACGAUCCGGAUGCUUCUCGCUAUGUCUUCUGUAGCAUUAGAAGAAGCUCCAACCCAUGGUGACAGUGAAAUGGGAGAUCUUCCCAUUCCUGAGGUAAUUUAUUAGUUGUCUCAAAAUUGAUGAUUGGGUGCUUGAGUGGUGCCACAUUGGAUUUACAGUAAUCCAUUCAUCAAUUGCCACGUGUACACACUAGGCCCCACCCUGACGUCAUCAGACUUCUUUUUGUUUCCUCAUAGCUCCCGUUGCUCCCUCCAGUCAUCUCUCACUUUGUUUCUUCUUCUUCCGUAUUCAAAUCCCUAAAUCUCGACCCAACUUCAAAUCUCUUCUCUCUCUUCUCCUUUUUCGUUUCUUCACAGCUUCCUUUUUUCUUCGCACGUCUCUCGUUUGCUGACGAUUCCAUCAUCAAUCUUGCCCUUGAUACCCUUGGCGCAACGCGAUCCUUUGG